rnacentral:rRNA from 1 species
AGAGUUUGAUCCUGGCUCAGAACGAACACUGGCAGCGUGGAUUAGGCAUGCAAGUCGAACGAGAAAGUUUCCUUCGGGAAACGAGUAAAGUGGCGAACGGGUGAGUAACGCGUGGGAAACCUGCCCUUUAAUGGGGGAUAACAGUUCUAACGAGCUGCUAAUACCGCAUACGACCUCCGGAUCGCAUGGUCUGGAGAUGAAAGGUGGCCUCUCUUUGAAGCUGCCGUUAAAGGAUGGUCCCGCGUCCCAUUAGCUUGUUGGUGGGGUAAUGGCCUACCAAGGCGACGAUGGGUAGCCGGCCUGAGAGGGUGUCCGGCCACACUGGGACUGAGUUACGGCCCAGACUCCUACGGGAGGCAGCAGUCGAGAAGCUUCCGCAAUGGGCGAAAGCCUGACGGAGCGACGCCGCGUGAGUGAAGAAGGCCCUAUGGGUUGUAAAACUCUGUCAGAUUGGGAAGAAAAUUCCACGGUUAACACCCGUGGAACUUGACGGUACCAUCAGAGGAAGCACCGGCUAACUCCGUGCCAGCAGCCGCGGUAAUACGGAGUGUGCAAGCGUUGUUCGGAUUCACUGGGUAUAAAGGGUGCGCAGGCGGCCCGAUAAGUCAGAGGUGAAAUAUGACGGCUCAACCGUCAAACUGCCUCUGAAACUGUCAGGCUUGAGUUCGAGAGAGGUAGGUGGAAUUCCAGGUGUAGCGGUGAAAUGCGUAAAUAUCUGGAGGAACACCGGUGGCGAAGGCGGCCUACUGGCUCGAUACUGACGCUCAGGCACGAAAGCAUGGGGAGCGAACGGGAUUAGAUACCCCGGUAGUCCAUGCCGUAAACGAUGGGUACUAGGUGUUGGGGGAGUCUACCCCCUCAGUGCCGCAGCUAAUGCAUUAAGUACCCCACCUGGGGAGUACGAUCGCAAGGUUGAAACUCAAAGGAAUUGACGGGGGCCCGCACAAGCGGUGGAGCAUGUGGUUUAAUUCGAUGCAACGCGAAGAACCUUACCUAGGCUUGACAUGCAGGGGACAGGUGUAGAAAUACAUCCUUCUUCGGACUCCUGUACAGGUGCUGCAUGGCUGUCGUCAGCUCGUGUCGUGAAAUGUUGGGUUAAGUCCCGCAACGAGCGCAACCCUUGUCUUUAGUUGCCAUCAGGUAAUGCUGGGGACUCUAGAGAGACUGCCGGUGACAAACCGGAGGAAGGUGGGGAUGACGUCAAGUCAGCAUGGCCCUUACGCCUAGGGCUACACACGUGCUACAAUGGUCGGUACAAUGGGCAGCAAUACAGCGAUGUGGAGCGAAUCCCAAAAAGCCGGCCUCAGUUCGGAUUGAAGUCUGCAACUCGACUUCAUGAAGUUGGAAUCGCUAGUAAUCGCGUAUCAGAACGACGCGGUGAAUACGUUCCCGGGCCUUGUACACACCGCCCGUCAAGUCAACCGAGUUGGUUGCACCCCAAGUCGCUGAGCUAACCCGUAAGGGAGGCAGGUGCCCAAGGUGUGAUUAGCGAGGGGGACUAAG